rnacentral:rRNA from 1 species
UACGUAGGGAGCAAGCGUUGUCCGGAAUCAUUGGGCGUAAAGCGCGCGUAGGUGGCCUCAUAAGUCCGUUGUGAAAGUCAAAGGCUCAACCUUUGAAAGCCGAUGGAUACUGUGAGACUAGAGUACGGAAGAGGCGAGUGGAAUUCCUGGUGUAGCGGUGGAAUGCGCAGAUAUCAGGAGGAACACCAAUAGCGAAGGCAGCUCGCUGGGACGUGACUGACGCUGAGACGCGAAAGCGUGGGGAGCGAACAGG